AAAACUUUCAACAACGGAUCUCUUGGUUCUGGCAUCGAUGAAGAACGCAGCGAAAUGCGAUAAGUAAUGCGAAUUGCAGAAUUCCAGUGAGUCAUCGAAUCUUUGAACGCACAUUGCGCCCUUUGGUAUUCCGAAGGGCAUGCCUGUUCGAGCGUCAUUAUCACCCCUCAAGCCCCGUGCUUGGUGUUGGAGGGUCCCGGUCGAGCGUCCCUCGACCCCUCCUAAAGACAAUGACGGCGGUCUCGUGGCACCCCCGGUACACUGAGCUUUUCACGAAGCACGUAUCGGAUCAAGGGCGCCCGGGACACGGUCUCCUCCCCUCGUGGGAAAUACUCCUUUCAAGGUUGACCUCGGAUCAGGUAGGAAUACCCGCUGAACUUAAGCAUAUCAAUAAGCGGAGGAAAAGAAACCAACAGGGAUUGCCUCAGUAACGGCGAGUGAAGCGGCAACAGCUCAAAUUUGAAAUCUGGCCUCUUUGGGGUCCGAGUUGUAAUUUGUAGAGGAUGUUUCGGGUACCGCCUCGGUCUAAAUUUCUUGGAACAGAAUGUCAAAGAGGGUGAGAAUCCCGUCUUGGACCGGCGGUAGGGCCCAUGUGAAACUCCUUCGACGAGUCGAGUUGUUUGGGAAUGCAGCUCUAAAUGGGUGGUAAAUUUCAUCUAAAGCUAAAUAUUGGCCAGAGACCGAUAGCGCACAAGUAGAGUGAUCGAAAGAUGAAAAGCACUUUGAAAAGAGAGUUAAACAGUAUGUGAAAUUGUUGAAAGGGAAGCGCUUGCAACCAGACUUGAGCGCGGCGGUUCCCCCUUCCUUCUGGUUGGGUUAUUCCGCCGCGUCCAGGCCAACAUCGGUUUCGGGGGCCGGUCAAAGGCUCCGGGAAUGUACCUACUUGUAGGCUUAUAGCCCGGGGUGUCAUGCGGCCUCCCGAGACCGAGGAACGCGCUUCGGCUCGGAUGUUGGCGUAAUGGUUGUCAGCGACCCGUCUUGAAACACGGACCAAGGAGUCUAACAUCUAUGCGAGUGUUUGGGUGUCAAACCCGGAACGCGAAAUGAAAGUGAACGGAGGUAGGAAGCUUCGGCUGCACUAUCGACCGAUCCUGAUGUCUUCGGAUGGAUUUGAGUAUGAGCAUAGCUGUUGGGACCCGAAAGAUGGUGAACUAUGCCUGAAUAGGGUGAAGCCAGGAGGAAACUCUGGUGGAGGCUCGCAGCGGUUCUGACGUGCAAAUCGAUCGUCAAAUUUGGGUAUAGG
rnacentral:rRNA from 1 species